UACGUAGGGGGCUAGCGUUGUUCGGAUUUAUUGGGCGUAAAGGGCAUGUAGGCGGUUAUGUAAGUGUGGAUUUAAAGGCGGAGGCUUAACCUCCGUAUGGUCUGCAAACUGCAUAGCUUGAGUUCAGAAGGGGAAACUGGAAUUCCACGUGUAGGGGUGAAAUCUGUAGAGAUGUGGAAGAAUACCUGUGGCGAAGGCGAGUUUCUGGUCUGAUACUGACGCUGAAAUGCGAAAGUGUGGGGAGC
rnacentral:rRNA from 1 species